rnacentral:rRNA from 1 species
CGCGCAGGCGGUCGUAUAAGUCGAAUGUGAAAGCCCCCGGCUCAACUGGGGAGGGUCAUUCGAUACUGUUCGACUCGAAGGCAGGAGAGGGAAGCGGAAUUCCCGGUGUAGUGGUGAAAUGCGUAGAUAUCGGGAGGAACACCAGUGGCGAAGGCGGCUUUCUGGCCUGUUCUUGACGCUGAGGCGCGAAAGCCAGGGGAGGCAAACG